GAAGUUUCCUGCCAGCUUUUCAUAACCUCUUUGUAUAAUAUUUGCUGGUGAGAUUCAUGCAAAAUUCUGAAUUCAGAGCGUGGUUCUGUGUCAGCGGUGCAGUGGACGCAGUCUCUCAGGAUCUAGCAGCAGUGCUUGUUCCUGACAGGCUACUGAUAGGCUCUGCACUGUGAGUGAUGGGCAGAGGGUACUGCUGGGACAAGCUGAAAGAACUCAGGUGGGAAGUCUCUGCUUCGUGGAUCCAUUUUAUGGCAUCUGGAAAGCACUCCAUCACAGUGUGCACAACAGAGUAACUGACAUAACACAGGACUCCAAGCACCUUCACAUCUACAGAGACCUGUCCAGACCGGCUAACCGGCAGGAGGUUCUUCUCUGUGAGACAACGGUGACACUCCUCUCUGCCUUUCUAAUUCGUUUCAAAUACAUUAAAUAUAUACCUGUUUCUCCCUCUUGUAGGUGGUUUGUAGUAGUGACCUCUGUCUUCACUAAUCUCAUGGAAGACUUUAUCCUGUGAGCCUCUCAUCCCUGAGCUGAGUGAGUCUCAACUACAAAUGAAACCAGACAGGAAGUUUUGUGUAACUCUGGGCAGUUCCGAACAAGUUCAUUGGUAACAAGUCAAACUUGUUCAUUUUGUGGCUUGUUUAUUCUUACUUUUCAGCAGAACACCCACUCACACAGCACUUGAAGGUUUUUGGGGAGAGGUUGUUUAUUUGUUUUGUUAUUGCUGUUUUGUUUGUUUUGUUUUGAGAAACAGGAUCACAAGAUAGGAGAGGGGAUUGAGACACUGAAUGUAGUAUACAGUAAAUAAAAUAAUCAGAACUG